AGGAUUAGAUACCCUGUAGUCCACGCCGUAAACGAUGUCUACUAGCCGUUGGGACUCUUGAAGUCUUAGUGGCGCAGCUAACGCACUAAGUAGACCGCCUGGGGAGUACGGCCGCAAGGUUAAAACUCAAAUGAAUUGACGGGGGCCCGCACAAGCGGUGGAGCAUGUGGUUUAAUUCGACGCAACGCGAAGAACCUUACCUGGCCUUGACAUGCAGAGAACUUUCCAGAGAUGGAUUGGUGC
rnacentral:rRNA from 1 species